rnacentral:lncRNA from 1 species
GGUGUGGAAUGUGAGGCCUCCAUUGCUGAGUACUUUCACCACUGUGAUUGAGGAAAUUUUCAUUUGGUAAGAAAUUGAGCUCAUGAUGAAGACGUGUUUACUAAUAGCUGUCUGUACUUCUGUUUUAUUUUUACCGUACUUGGGAAUUGUAUUGCCUCUAGGUUUAUCUAUCUUGAAUUCUAAGCAUAACUGGGAAAUGAGUUAAAAAUUCCAUAUAAAGAUUUGGCUUUUCUUUGACCAAUAAUGCAGUGGAAUGCAGAAGUGGGAGGUACAGGUAGAAAGAGAGAGAGGAAAUGCAUUUUCCCUGGUGCAGAGUAACCUUCUGGUUCUGUUAAAGUUAAAAAAAAAUUACUAGCUAUUC